rnacentral:rRNA from 1 species
UACGUAGGGUGCAAGCGUUGUCCGGAAUUAUUGGGCGUAAAGAGCUCGUAGGCGGUCUGUCGCGUCGGCUGUGAAAACUCGGGGCUCAACUCCGAGCUUGCAGUCGAUACGGGCAGGCUAGAGUUCGGCAGGGGAGACUGGAAUUCCUGGUGUAGCGGUGAAAUGCGCAGAUAUCAGGAGGAACACCGGUGGCGAAGGCGGGUCUCUGGGCCGAUACUGACGCUGAGGCGCGAAAGCGUGGGGAGCAAACAGG